ACAAAUCUACAUGUAUGACUCGCACCCUACUCUGAGGGACCUAGGGUGUUCAAGUAAUACCUAAGUUUUCAAACUUUCCCAAUGUCCAUAGUCCUAGUCUAUCUUCCCUCAAACUAUAUAUACUUUCCCAUUUUCCCCACAACCGAAGCUUGUCAUUUAAAAAAAUUGUAAUAUCCUAGAUUUAGGAAAAGCUACGAAAAUAUGGUCUUAUUGCAAAAACCAACUAGAAAUAGAAAAAAACAAGAAAUAAAUAUGAACAUAAAAAUGAAAGAAAUAAAAGUGCAAGAAAAAUAAAGAAAGGUGCAAGAAAAUAAAGAAGUACCCCCAAACUUGAACCAAACAUUGUCCUCAAUGUUUUAGCGCAAGCAAGAGGGGGUGAACUCACAAUGGGAAUUGCAACAUGA
rnacentral:lncRNA from 1 species